rnacentral:tRNA from 4 species
GGAGGAGUACCCAAGUUUGGCUGAAGGGAGCGGUCUUGAAAACCGCCAGGGGGUUUACGCCCCGCGGGGGUUCGAAUCCCUCCUCCUCCGCCA